GAGGGAAGAGCCCAAGAUUGAAAGCUGGCGUCUUCGGCGUCCGCAUUGUAAUCUCAAGAAGUGUUUUCCGCUUCGGACCAUGCCUAAGUCCCUUGGAAAAGGGCAUCAUAGAGGGUGAUAAUCCCGUAUAUGGUAUGGAGCGCCCGAAGCUUUGUGAUACACUUUCUAAGAGUCGAGUUGUUUGGGAAUGCAGCUCAAAAUGGGUGGUAAAUGCCAUCUAAGGCUAAAUAUUGGGGAGAGACCGAUAGCGAACAAGUACAGUGAUGGAAAGAUGAAAAGAACUUUGAAAAGAGAGUUAAACAGUACGUGAAAUUGCCAAAAGGGAAGGGUAGGAGGUCACAUAUGCUUCCAGGGAAUUUAUUCCUUGAUUGCAGGCCAACGUCGGUUUUGGGCACUGGAGAAGGGUAGGAGGAACGUGGCAUCCCUCGGGAUGUGUUAUAGCCUCUUACUGGAUACAGCGACCGAGACCGAGGACAGCAGCGUACUCGCAAGAGCGGGCCUUCGGGCACCUUUACGCUUAGGGCGUUGGCAUAAUGGCCCUCUACCACCCGUCUUGAA
rnacentral:rRNA from 1 species